rnacentral:rRNA from 1 species
UACAGAGGGGGCAAGCGUUGUUCGGAAUUACUGGGCGUAAAGGGCGCGUAGGCGGCCUUCUAAGUCGAACGUGAAAUCCCCGGGCUCAACCCGGGAACUGCGUCCGAUACUGGGAGGCUUGAAUCCGGGAGAGGGAUGUGGAAUUCCAGGUGUAGCGGUGAAAUGCGUAUAUAUCUGGAGGAACACCGGUGGCGAAGGCGGCAUCCUGGACCGGUAUUGACGCUGAGGCGCGAAAGCCAGGGGAGCAAACAGG